UUGUGUUCAAAACGUAACAGUUCAUUCAGUUUUACAACAUUUUAAAAUGUGUUGCUUUUAAGUUUCACUCUCACUUUUACAAUGUAGUAGGUGUAGUAGGCCCCUAAUGACCGACAUCUAUGGUGCUAAGAGCGACUGAUAGUGCCUAAUUAAUGGCCUGAUAACAGUCGAAUCAAGUGCAGUGAGAGACAA